GACGAACGCUGGCGGCGUGCUUAACACAUGCAAGUCGAACGGAAAGGCCCUGCUUGCAGGGUACUCGAGUGGCGAACGGGUGAGUAACACGUGGGUGAUCUGCCCUGCACUUCGGGAUAAGCUUGGGAAACUGGGUCUAAUACCGGAUAGGAGCCAUCUUUAGUGUGGUGGUUGGAAAGUUUUUUCGGUGUAGGAUGAGCUCGCGGCCUAUCAGCUUGUUGGUGGGGUAAUGGCCUACCAAGGCGGCGACGGGUAGCCGGCCUGAGAGGGUGUACGGCCACAUUGGGACUGAGAUACGGCCCAGACUCCUACGGGAGGCAGCAGUGGGGAAUAUUGCACAAUGGGCGCAAGCCUGAUGCAGCGACGCCGCGUGGGGGAUGAAGGCCUUCGGGUUGUAAACUCCUUUCGCUAGGGACGAAGCUUUGUGUGACGGUACCUAGAUAAGAAGCACCGGCUAACUACGUG
rnacentral:rRNA from 1 species